AUGGUAAUGCAAGUUAUGCUGGUUCGUCGAGUCCAACCUUACAAAUGCCGCCCCCUCCGCAUGUGGGAAUUCAACUCGGAAGUUCCGCAAGCUAUUCAGCAUUUCCUCGGCAUGACGCACGAAGAGAUGUACAAAUCAUUCUUCGGACCCCAAAUAGAGUGUCCGGAAACCACCGAGGAUGUGGGUCUGAGCUGCAACCGCCCCGCUGCCCAAGUAAGUAAUCCCAUGCCGAACCUACUGUCCUUUUAUUUAUCAUGGCAUCAUUCUAAAGAGCCGCUCUUUCACCAGGACUGGAUAACAAAGGCGAUGAUGAUCAGGUGUUCGGCCCCCCUUCCUGAGGGCUUGGACAAUCCGGUACUAGACAAGAUGCUCGAGCCAGCGCCUUAUCUAGUGCCCUCAAAGGAAGAUGAUGGGGGGAAUAGAGAGGGCGAAAGCGGGCCUCACUCGCUACUUAUUCCAGCCGGGGGAAUGAGCGCCUCCGCGAGGGAGGACAACCAAAGUGAAGAAUCUGACAUUCUUUCUCCCCAGGGAAGGAAGAGGACUACCUCUGAAGAUCCGGAAACUAAGGUUUCCAAACGGGAGAAGAAAUCUUCAUCAGAGGGUCCCGCCUCGGAGGGUAUUCUUGCCGCACAAUGUCCGCGCGGGGUUCAGCCCUCUACUGAGCUGUAA
rnacentral:rRNA from 1 species